UACGGAGGGGGCGAGCGUUGUCCGAAGUUACUGGGCGUAAAGCGCGUGUAGGCGGGUUGCCAAGUCGGGUGUGAAAUCCCUCGGCUCAACCGAGGAACUGCAUUCGAUACUGGUUGGCUAGAGUCCGGGAGGGGAUGGUGGAAUUCCAGUGUAGCGGUGAAAUGCGUAGAUAUUGGGAAGAACACCGGUGGCGAAGGCGGCCAUCUGGACCGG
rnacentral:rRNA from 1 species